AUGCUCACUUUGGCAGCACAUAUACUAAAAUUGGAACAAUACAGAGAAGAUUAACAUAGUUCCUGCGCAAGGAUGACAUGCAGAUUCGUGAGGCAUUCCAUAUGUUU
ensembl:snRNA U6 U6 spliceosomal RNA